rnacentral:rRNA from 4 species
GCCUGAUGCAGCGACGCCGCGUGAGGGAUGACGGCCUUCGGGUUGUAAACCUCUUUCAGCAGGGACGAAGCGCAAGUGACGGUACCUGUAGAAGAAGGACCGGCCAACUACGUGCCAGCAGCCGCGGUAAUACGUAGGGUCCGAGCGUUGUCCGGAAUUACUGGGCGUAAAGAGCUCGUAGGUGGUUUGUCGCGUUGUUCGUGAAAACUCACAGCUUAACUGUGGGCGUGCGGGCGAUACGGGCAGACUUGAGUACUGCAGGGGAGACUGGAAUUCCUGGUGUAGCGGUGGAAUGCGCAGAUAUCAGGAGGAACACCGGUGGCGAAGGCGGGUCUCUGGGCAGUAACUGACGCUGAGGAGCGAAAGCGUGGGGAGCGAACAGGAUUAGAUACCCUGGUAGUCCACGCCGUAAACGGUGGGUACUAGGUGUGGGUUUCCUUCCUUGGGAUCCGUGCCGUAGCUAACGCAUUAAGUACCCCGCCUGGGGAGUACGGCCGCAAGGCUAAAACUCAAAGAAAUUGACGGGGGCCCGCACAAGCGGCGGAGCAUGUGGAUUAAUUCGAUGCAACGCGAAGAACCUUACCUGGGUUUGACAUGCACAGGACGUGCCUAGAGAUAGGUAUUCCCUUGUGGCCUG